UACGUCUCACGUAACUGGCGAAACACCGUGCGCCCGCGAAUUGUCAUUUGUGCGGCGGCGGUCAAGGUGGGCACCCACCGGGGAACGUGAGAUGUCACCCGCCGUUCGCCUGGGCAGCCAUC
rnacentral:ncRNA from 2 species